rnacentral:lncRNA from 1 species
AACCUCGUUGAGAUAAGGCUUUGUUAGAGACUGCAGCUGCCGAAUCUGUCAAAGAAAUCUCAGUUCUUUGUUUAGCUAUAUCAUGUCGAGCUGUGUUCUGUAUAAACUCAUCGUCUAUGAUACUUGCUGUUGUUUGAAUCACGGAAACAUGAUUAUCAUUCCAAGAUAUAGCUCGAACAUCACCAAAUUGCAAAGGAGGUGUAUGAUCCAGUUCUAAUGAAAUAGAAACUGCAUCAUGAGAUUCAUUAUAUUCCGAGCGGUUGGAACUGUUAUUAUCAUUUGCAGCAGCAUCUUUUUGGUAUGUUCAGA